rnacentral:rRNA from 1 species
UACGUAGGGGGCAAGCGUUGUCCGGAAUUAUUGGGCGUAAAGGGCGCGUAGGCGGCCUGUGCAAGUCAGUUGUGAAAUCUCCGGGCUUAACUCGGAACGGUCAACUGAUACUGCUCGGCUAGAGUGCGGAAGGGGCAACUGGAAUUCUUGGUGUAGCGGUGAAAUGCGUAGAUAUCAAGAGGAACACCUGCGGCGAAGGCGGGUUGCUGGGCCGACACUGACGCUGAAGUGCGAAAGCUAGGGGAGCGAACGGG